UACGGGGGGGGGCAAGCGUUGUUCGGAAUUACUGGGCGUAAAGGGCUCGUAGGCGCCAACUAAGUCAGACGUGAAAUCCCCAGGCUCAACCUGGGAACUGCGUCUGAUACUGGUUGGCUUGAAUCCGGGAGAGGGACGUGGAAUUCCAGGUGUAGCGGUGAAAUGCGUAGAUAUCUGGAGGAACACCGGUGGCGAAGGCGACGUCCUGGACCGGCAUUGACGCUGAGGCGCGAAAGCCAGGGGAGCAAACGGG
rnacentral:rRNA from 1 species